CAGCUUGUUGGUGGGGUAACGGCCUACCAAGGCGACGACGGGUAGCCGGCCUGAGAGGGCGACCGGCCACACUGGGACUGAGACACGGCCCAGACUCCUACGGGAGGCAGCAGUGGGGAAUAUUGCGCAAUGGGCGAAAGCCUGACGCAGCGACGCCGCGUGGGGGAUGAAGGCCUUCGGGUUGUAAACCCCUUUCAGCAGGGACGAAGCGAAAGUGACGGUACCUGCAGAAGAAGCGCCGGCUAACUACGUGCCAGCAGCCGCGGUAACACGUAGGGCGCAAGCGUUGUCCGGAAUUAUUGGGCGUAAAGAGCUCGUAGGCGGUCUGUUGCGUCCGCUGUGAAAACUCGGGGCUUAACCCCGAGCCUGCAGUGGAUACGGGCAGACUAGAGGUAGGUAGGGGAGAAUGGAAUUCCCGGUGUAGCGGUGAAAUGCGCAGAUAUCGGGAGGAACACCGGUGGCGAAGGCGGUUCUCUGGGCCUUACCUGACGCUGAGGAGCGAAAGCGUGGGGAGCGAACAGGAUUAGAUACCCUGGUAGUCCACGCCGUAAACGUUGGGCGCUAGGUGUGGGAUCCUUCCACGGAUUCCGUGCCGCAGCUAACGCAUUAAGCGCCCCGCCUGGGGAGUACGGCCGCAAG
rnacentral:rRNA from 1 species